rnacentral:misc_RNA from 1 species
UCAUCUCUAGUCGAAAUUUCAAGAGAGAAUUGAAGACAAGAAUGAAACUUUUGAUUUUAAUCGUCGCUUCUCUGCUGAUAAUAGGAGUCCAGAGUAAGGAUGCGUAUGGGAAAAGAAAAGACGGAAAUGCAAUUCCUUGUUUAUUGGAUAGUAGCUAUUGUAAUAAGGAGUGCGUUCAACUGAAGGCGAAGUCGGGGUACUGCUAUUUUUUGGCUAUGUCAUGCUAUUGUCAGGGACUUCCCGACGACAAAGCUUAAUACAAAGCAACUAGUAAAUUUAGAGUUUGAAACGAUGUCGCAAUUGUUUUUCAGUUUGAUGCAAUUGUAGUCUUAUAAAAUAAAAUUACAUAUCACUGCA